UACAGAGGGUGCGAGCGUUGUUCGGAAUUACUGGGCGUAAAGCGCGCGCAGGCGGCCCUUUAAGUCUACCCGUGAAAUGCCGGAGCUCAACUCCGUGCACGCCGGGGGAUACUGGAGGGCUGGAGAUGAGUAGAGGCAAGCGGAAUUCCGGGUGUAGCGGUGGAAUGCGUAGAGAUCCGGAAGAACACCGGAGGCGAAGGCGGCUUGCUGGGCUUGGUUUGACGCUGAGGCGCGAAAGCGUGGGGAGCGAACAGG
rnacentral:rRNA from 1 species